AUUGAACGCUAGCGGGAUGCUUUACACAUGCAAGUCGAACGAGUGGCGGACGGGUGAGUAAUAUAUCGGAACGUGCCCAGUAGCGGGGGAUAACUACUCGAAAGAGUAGCUCAUACCGCAUACUAUUGCAGCGGCCGAUAGCGGAUUAGAGAGUUGGUGGGGUAAAGGCUCACCAAGGAAAUGAUCCGUAGCUGGUUUGAGAGGACGACCAGCCACACUGGGACUGAGACAGUGCCCAGACUCAUAAGGGAGGCAGCAGUGGGGAAUUUUGGACAAUGGGGGAAAUCCUGAUCCAGCCAUCCCGCGUGUAUGAGAAGGCCUUCGGGUUGUAAAGUACUUUUGGCAGAGAAGCGGUAUCUGCAGAAUAAGCAACGGCUAACUACGUGCCAGCAGCCGCGGUAAUUC
rnacentral:rRNA from 1 species